rnacentral:rRNA from 1 species
AUUGAACGCUGGCGGCAGGCCUAACACAUGCAAGUCGAACGGCAGCACAGAAGAGCUUGCUCUUUGGGUGGCGAGUGGCGGACGGGUGAGUAACACGUAGGAAUCUACCCAGUAGUGGGGGAUAACCUGGGGAAACCCAGGCUAAUACCGCAUACGCCCUGAGGGGGAAAGCGGGGGAUCUUCGGACCUCGCGCUAUUGGAUGAGCCUGCGUCGGACUAGCUAGUUGGUGGGGUAAGGGCCCACCAAGGCGACGAUCCGUAGCUGGUCUGAGAGGAUGACCAGUCACACCGGAACUGAGACACGGUCCGGACUCCUACGGGAGGCAGCAGUCGGGAAUUUUGGGCAAUGGGCGCAAGCCUGACCCAGCCAUGCCGCGUGUGUGAAGAAGGCC